UGAUGUUGUGGCAGUAGUCAAGUUUAAUGCUCUGCAUCUCGGAAAAAUAAUUAAAAGUAUCAGCAAAUUUAAGAAGAAAAAUAAAAUUUGAAGAGCCACAAGGCGCAAUUACAAUUUAAUUUCCAAUGUAUUUUCGUUAUAAAAAAUGGUACACGCUGGAAAUUUUAUUUCAAUUAUGGAAGAAUUCAAUUUUAAUAAGGACACGAUGGAAGCCGAUUCUUUGGAGAUGGAGGUGAAUUGAGGUGGAACGACCCAUACGACCUGUAUUAGUAUUAAAACGAACAUAACCUCAAAAUUCAAGGUCCUAGAUCUCCAGGAUUCAAGGUCAUGGAUCAAACAUAACCUUAAAAUUCAAGGGCAUAGGGUUCCAAGAUUCAAGGUUGGAGCUCAAACAUAACCUCAAAAUUUUAGGGCAUUGGUUUUCAGGAUUCAAGACCUUAGUUCAAACAUAACCUCUAAUUUCAAAGACAAAGGUCAAGGGACCGUUGGGUAUGUCCGAUAAACAUAACUUCAAAUUCCCCUAAUCAAGAAGCGAACAUAACCUCAAAAUUUACAUUA